GACGAACGCUGGCGGCGUGCUUAACACAUGCAAGUCGAACGGAAAGGCCCUGCUUUUGUGGGGUGCUCGAGUGGCGAACGGGUGAGUAACACGUGAGUAACCUGCCCUUGACUUUGGGAUAACUUCAGGAAACUGGGGCUAAUACCGGAUAGGAGCUCCUGCUGCAUGGUGGGGGUUGGAAAGUUUCGGCGGUUGGGGAUGGACUGGCGGCUUAUCAGCUUGUUGGUGGGGUAGUGGCUUACCAAGGCUUUGACGGGUAGCCGGCCUGAGAGGGUGACCGGCCACAUGGGGACUGAGAGACGGACCAGACUCCUACGGGAGGCAGCAGUGGGGAAUAUUGCACAAUGGGCGGAAGCCUGAUGCAGCAACGCCGCGUGCGGGAUGACGGCCUUCGGGUUGUAAACCGCUUUCGCCUGUGACGAAGCGUGAGUGACGGUAAUGGGUAAAGAAGCACCGGCUAACUACGUG
rnacentral:rRNA from 1 species